UGGAUACGUCAGACCGCUAAUCCCAACCCAUAUCCCAAAGUUCCAAUCAUCGACAAGAGCUCAGUACAGGCCCUCCUCCUGGUUCGUCAGGAUAACGAGGUCCGAAGUUGCGUAGGCAACGCAGGUCAGAACGUAGCCAGCCUCCAUCUGCUUGUCAUCCAGGAAGCUCUGGUCGCUCUGGUCCACGGUGCCGGACACAACCUUGCCGGCGCAGCUGGAGCAGG
rnacentral:lncRNA from 1 species